rnacentral:rRNA from 1 species
CCUACGGGGGGCAGCAGUGAGGAAUAUUGGUCAAUGGACGAGAGUCUGAACCAGCCAAGUAGCGUGAAGGAUGACUGCCCUAUGGGUUGUAAACUUCUUUUAUCUGGGAAUAAAACGUUCCACGUGUGGGAUUUAGUAUGUUCCAUAUGAAUAAGGAUCGGCUAAACCCGUGCCAGGAGCCGCGGUAAUACGGAGGAUCCGAGCGUUAUCCGGGUUUAUUUGGUUUAAAGGGAGCGUAGGUGGAUUGUUAAGUCAGUUGUGAAAGUUUGCGGCUCAACCGUAAAAUUGCAGUUGAAACUGGCAGUCUUGAGUACAGUAGAGGUGGGCGGAAUUCGUGGUGUAGCGGUGAAAUGCUUAGAUAUCACGAAGAACUCCGAUUGCGAAGGCAGUUCACUGGACUGCAACUGACACUGAGGCUCGAAAGUGUGGGUAUCAAACAGGAUUAGAUACCCUAGUAGUC